CGUAGCAGAGCCCGCUACCUGGUGGUCCGGGAGGUGUGUGCUCCAGGUGUUUAGGGUUUCCUUGUAAGGCCGCGUUGGAAUCUUCCUGCACAUUGACGCGACCAUAUUCGCAUUGAGGCUUUAUCUCUGAAUAACCCUGGAAGAGGAGUGAGGUGUAAUUAAUAAAAAAGGCACAGGCGUUUAAAGCUGUAUCGCCCGCAGACUGUAGCGUCUCCCAGAUUUAUCUUGAUUGCGGAUUGUUUCCUUGAUGUUUUUUUGGACGAUUCUCGCUUAUCUGACAUGUCUUAGGAUGUCUAAGUCUCUUCCUCUUAAAAGGGAUCUCAGCUGUACAGAGAAGAUAAUGUGAAAAAAAAAAAAAACUAUGCACUCUUGAGGAUGGGAAAACCUAUCUUGGAUUUUUCCUGCCUGGGUCCUGAUUCCCUUGUGUAGUUCUAUCGUAAACACUUAAGAUCUCUGGGCUUCCAUUUUCUCUUUUUAAACAAGAUUGUGAAAAUUACAAUGUGUGAGCAUUGCCAAACUUUUCCUUAUGGAGACUGGUAUCUUCAAAUGAUGUGUGUUCUGUUAUUGGGAGCUUAUCUUCAAAGAAGUUUAUUGUUCUGUGCAAGUUCUCUGUACCUUGGGUUAAGACUGUCUCUACAGAUUGUUUUUCUGGGGUCCUUGAAGUUUCAAUUGCUUUUAAACCAGACCGGAGGGCAGCCCUCCUGCCCAACUGUAUGUUUGCAGGAAAGCUAAUAAAAUCUACAAGUCAUCUGAAGUUGAGUGAUUUCUUCAGGAUCAAGCAAAUGAGUAAAUGGGAGAGUCAGAAUUAUAGUCCAGGUAAUGUAUAACUUUAAGCCUCAGACCUUUCACCUAUCUCUAAACAAACAAGCCAACCAAAUAAACAUAUUCCCACCACCAAGCCAUCACCCCCAUUCUCUUUUUUAACACUGAUUCAAGAAGGAAAAAGUUCCUUAAUGGCAAGUCUUUGGCCUUUCAAUUUAGUUACUGUGUCAUUUGUGUACAUAUUUUUUUUUUUUUCAUUUGUGUAGUGAUCAGUUCACC